CCCAUUAAGAGUAAACCCAAGGAUGCAGUUGACUUUUCCAAGUCAACCAGAGUUUGAAAACACUCAGGCACGCGCUAACCUCCCUCUCACUCACAGCUUAUUUCACCGGCCGACCUCCGUGAGACACCGUGCCGGCGGUUGCCAUCGGCGAUGAUGAUGCCCUAAACUAAGGUUGAAGUCACCAUCAGACGUGCAAUACUACACUGGUGACGUAUUUGGGAAUGAAUUGGUGAGAUUGUUUCUGUAUAAGCUGAAUCGAGGGAUUUCAUUUGAAGAACCCUAAGUCAAUCUAAGCAAAUUAAAUGGAAAUCAUGAAGAGUCAAUGUCUACAACCUUAGGGCUUGGGUUCCUCUCUCUAAAUUCUACCAUCUGAUAACCUAAAAAUACGAAAAAGUAAUGGUUAGAGAGUUACUCACCGGAGAAAGAGGCCAGAGAUAUGUCAGGUGAGUUUCUGAUUCUUCUUCUUUGCUUUCUUUGACACAAUUCGUCCUCUUUUCUUCCUUCUUUCUUCUUCUGGAAAUUUAGAGUGAUGAAUAGUGAGGGACGUGGUUUAGCUCAAGCAAUUUGAAGCUUCAAUGUGAAGCUUCAAUGGCUUAUGGGAGAAAAGAGCUUUGAGUGAGUGGUUAGGGAGAGAUUUUGCAGAGUGAGAGUGUCAGAUUGAAGGUGAUGACCAAAGUGUUGAAAUGAUGAUGAUGAUUGCGUUUAAAUAGGGAUGAGGUUUAGAUUAGAGAUAGGUUUGGGAAUUGGUUUGGAGGCUGUUAGAUGAGGUUUGGAGUCAGUUGAACUUGGCUCACUGAGUUAGCAGUUAACUCAGUUAGUUGGUUGCUUUAGACUCAGUUAGUUAGGAGUUGUUAAUGAACUUAGUUAGUUGGUUAUUUUAGUUAAUGUUAGGUGAUUGAUGACUGGCUAACAUAGGUUAACACUUAAGUGGAAUUGGGUUUGAAUAUUGAAUGAUGACCUACUAAACAGGUCCACUCCAAGUUACUAAUUGAACUUGCUAGUCGUGUUGUGGGUUAGUGUUGUUGAUUGAUGUUGAAUGGUUAAGUUGUGAUGCAGGUUGAUGUUGCUCGUCUUGUAGCGGGCUCAUGAUUAUGGUUUACAAUGGCUAAUGCAAGGCCAAUGUCUGCUACAGAAUAGUGACCUCUUACUGCAAUUUCUGGUUUGCUAUGCUUAUACAGGUCAGGUCCAUGGCAUGGUCAUGUUGCAUUUGCUAGGCUGUUGGACUUGAUGAUUGCAGGUUGCAAUGUUUGUGGUUAGGUUCUGCAGAAUUUGGAUGUUUUGUGAACUUUAUGUUGUACUGUAUGUCAUAUUAGCUGCAGGUGUGCAUAUGGUUUGUACAUGGUUGGCAGGCUGCAGGUUCAUGGAUACAUGAAGUCUGCACUUGGCAUUGUGGUGUUGUAUUAAUUUACACUUAUUUAUUCCAGUUUAGCUUUAAACACUUGGUAAUGGAAUCGUUUUACUUGGCUUGUAUUCCAUGCUUCUGUUGACCUUGAUGUGCAGCCCUGGUUUCCUGUGAUUCUGCACCAGAUAAUUAUGGUUUUGAGCUUGCAUUGCCCUUUUGUUUUGGUUUGCUAAUGUGUUCAAUGGUUGCAAUAUGAUGUCUGUGAUGAGUUAUUUUGGAUGUGCAGGAUGUGGUGGAUCAUGUUAUUGCAAGAUGCAAUUGCAAUCCUAGCUUGGACUAAUGUAUUUGCAGGUGCAUUGCUUCAUGGUGUGCUAUGGUGUUUUGCAAAAUGGUGGCAACAAUAGGUCUACGAGCUUGAUUCUGGUUUGUGCUUUGCAGAUACGGUCCAGGUGUAGCAGUUCAUAAUCUCAAGGCUUGCAGCAAUUCUGACUUGAUGAAUGGUUCAUCUGCUAAUUGUUUGCAAAAUGGUCUUGUGAAUCAGGACAUGGUGAUUUGCAAGGAGCUUGUGGUUUUGUAGCAUGUUCAAUGUCCAUUUCCUGAUGGUUUUCUUCAACAUGUGAUUAUGGUCUACACAGGUGCUACUGCAGGAUGCAUAUGCUAAAAGUUAAAUAGUUAUUUGCUAGGUUGGGGAAAAUAGCGUUUCAGGUCAGGUUCAUGUGUAAUAUUCAUGGCUUGUUGGAGGUUCAUGACUUGGUUGGUUUUGUAGGUUUUGAUGACAUGGAAAUGACAUGAACAAUGAUAGCUUGCACUUGAAGAAAUCACAAGCAAACAUUAACUUUGGUGACGAAUCAAGACAAGAUGGGAUAGGAUUAAGUCUUAGGGUGGUCAAGGAAAAAGCGUGAGUUGACUUUGGUCAAAGUUUACCGAAAAGUCAACUAUUGACCAAAGUCAACACUUGGUCAAAGUUGUCAAAAUUUGUAUUUUUCCGUGUAAUGGACAUUUUAUGGAUGGUAAUGGAUGAAUUUAGGGUAUUAGGGAUUUGGGUUGACUUUGGUCAAAGUUGACCAAAAAGUCAACUAUUGACCAAAAAGUCAUCUAUUGACCAAAGUCAACAUUUGGUCAAAAGUUGCCAAGACUUGUAAUUUUUUAUGUAAUGAUCAAUGUGAUGGUUUAUAUAUGGACAUUUGGAUGUUAAAUGGUUCUCAAGUUA